AGUUAGAAUCUUUAUGGGAGUUUUUGAACUCUCACAGAGAUGUGGCUGUAGGAUACAAUAAAACGGCGCAGGCUCGAGAGUAUUCUAAGCGGAUGUGGACAACUGUGUCUCAAACUUUAAACUCUUUGGGAGAAGGAGCUACAAAGGACUGGAAAAGUUGGUCUAAUUAUUGGGUAGACUACAAAGCGAAAUUAAAAAGAAGAGUAGCAAGCAUCCGUGCUGCUCAAAAUCGCACCGGCGGUGGCCCUUCUGAAGCCAUUCCCCUAAAUGAUUUAGAGAAGAAAUUCCUAAGUCUACUUGGAGAAGGCUUUGGAAGUGGGAUACCUAAUACCCAAGUAGACCCAUUUCCAAUUCAAACUCAGUCCGAACAUACUGCACCUGAGGCUGGAACAUCUAACUCAGAAGCUCCUCUAGUUCUUGAACACCCUCUCACCCAUGAGAGUGUUCAACUAGAGGGAGAGGAAGAGCCAGCACUGCAAGACUCUGUACUAGAGCAGCCGCAGGUGCAACAGGAAGUGGCCCCACAGCAGCAACAACAGCCUUAGGAAACACG